UUGUGUGGUUUGGACUAUGAUAACCAAUAGACAGAAAACGAUGAAAGCCAUGAGGUGAACUCUUUGCACCAAAAGCUUCAUUAAGAGAUCUGCACAUGUUCAUCCUCUGCUGCAUCCUGCUCUAGUGUCCUUGAGAGCCAGAGUUGGAGAAAAAAGAAAAUGGCCGACUGGCAGUCCAGUGUGAAGCGCUUGGAGUGAAAGUCUGUAAUUGGGGGCCCUGAGCAGGGAGUCUUCACUGCAUGUCAAGGAGAAUUAUAGCUUGAGGUUAUAAAGAAAGUAUUUUUUCAGGGAGGGGGGAUUCUUUUCAAUAUGCCGCAUUAGUUAUGCUCAUUUUCUCUCUCCCUUUCCUUUCUCAUUUCAAAAUACAACCGGACUCCAUUUAGUGAUUGAAUGAAUGCCAUACCAGCUAUGGGGUGCCUGCUCUACCUUCAUUACUACGGCCAGUUUCAAUUCAUGCCUUAAUGAAAGGAACCUUUGCUUUCACAACAGGGGAUGCAAUUACUCUCUCUAUUUCAUAACAUUAUUACCAUCUGAGGUGUGUAGUUAUGAUGUGGAUGUCUAGGCUGUUAAGGCUGUUUAGGAUGUGCAGGCUUUGAGACCCUCAGAGACCCAUGGCGUUAAUGAGCAAGGUUAGGGCACACUGUGUCAUUGGAACAGUGAAGCCAUUUGCUUCUAAAUGACAUUUCCUUUGUGAGUAUGAGCCCAUAUUAGCUGCUAAUGUGGCGUGUCACCCAUGGCAUACACGCAUCGCAUUCCUUUUUUUAAGAAGAGCAACAGUGAAACUGUGGGAGACUUUAUUAAAUGUGAUAUGACCACACACCUUAAAUAUCUAUAUGGAUAAGGAAAAAAAAACAUAAUUGACUUUGUCAGACACAGGUAUUCACUUCGUCUUCACCUUAAUCACAUCUUUCAGGCACUGAGCCAUAGAUGGAGUCUCUGAGGGAGGAAUCUCGCUGACAGGAAAUUAUGAAAAAGAAUUAAUUUGACCUUCGCUUGCAGCAAGAAAAAGAGAGAGGGAGAGAGAAAGGAGGGGGGAUGAAGGGGAGGGUGAAUGGAUGGAUUUGAGGGAGGUUUAGGGAGGAACUGCUCCCACAGAGGGCAAGAUCCUGAGGAGGGGGCUCGGAUAAUGAGAGCUCUCAGCUCCCUCCACACUGGGGCAAGACAUCUGAUUCACUGAAAAGCCCAAAGGAAGGACGGUAGUCACCCUUAGCUCCUUAAGUCUUCAGAGUGAAUAGUUUCAAUAGCUUUUCAUAAAGACUUUGGAGUAAAGAUACUUGACUCACCCACGAUGGCCAACAGGACAUACUUUGUUCAGAUAACGCAUGCUGCUGGCCCUCCACAGUGACUGAAUUCUGAGGGUAUUUUGUUCAAUCGAGCAACAAAUCAGAUACAGUGUGUCUUAUAAAAGUUUCAACAGCUUAACCCCAAUCUAACCCGCUGCUCAUGUGAGGCUUGCUCAUGAACUGAUUCGUUUGUCUCGCUAUCAGUUUUGGUUAUAACACCACCUCACAUGUUGUUAUGGUGGUCUCAGCAAAGUUUGGUUUCAUUCUUCUUAAAGAGACAGUUCGGAUUUUUUGAAGUUUUAUGAGGUACUUAUUAACAGUCAGUGUAUUACCUACAGUAGAUGGCAGUCAGGGUGCCACCAGUUUGGAGAAGCAGGCAAGAGUACCUUGGCACAGAAACUAAGCAAUGUCUUGCUGUGGAUGGGGGCAGCAACAACACGUAUUUUUGCUACAUAAAAAGGUUCCACCUAAAAAAAAUCAGCAUCGAUUUAAGUGUACGCUAUAUCUGGAAUAUUUUUAGCACUCUACCUUGCCAUCAGACACCGAUUUUGGAGAGGGAACUAAAGGCAUUGUACCGCUCUCUUCGAAGCCACCAGACCUUAUUGACAUAGACAGGGAUUUUAGAAGACAGAGUAGUUGUGCGCACAUCCAAUCCUGUUUUUGGUCAGGUGCUGGAUAAUAGGGGUCCAUGCAGAAAGAAGAAGAAAAUCCACACACUGAAUUAGAGCUCCCAGUUUACUUUAUUGACUAAAAUGCAACGUUUCGACCCAAAUGGUCUUCCUCAGGCAACUUCAAAAGAAUGAAAUGGCAGGUGGCAGGUAUACAUAUAGGCUAAGAGCCAGGUGACAUCCCACCCACGUCAUGUGUCAAUCAAACAAUCAGACAGUCAUUCAGGUAGGCCAUAUAUAGGCCUAUAAUGGCUACUUAGUAUGCACAAAGGAUUUGCAUAUCAAUAAGUGCAAAGAAUACAGAUAUACAAAAUAUACAAAUUGUUAUUGGGGAAACACACAAUACAAAAGAGACAAUUUAACUAUUAGAAAAAACUAUUAGAAUAAAUUUUUUUAGAAUUUUAUAGAAAAAGUUUUGCAAAAAACAAACAAACAUAGGAUUACAGUUUUAAAAGGAACACUGCUUGGAGAAUAAAAACACCAAGUACCAGUUCACAAAAAGGGCUUAAUGUCAAAAUCCUCAUUAAGGCCAUUAGGUGACAUGGUAUUGAGAAAGGAGAUCCAGUAGGUCCAGGGAUUUUACCUCGCUGAACACAGGAGUUGGUUGUCUUUCGCUGCCUUCAUCAGUUUUGUGUGCAUUAUUGUGUGACUGCGGUAUUUUAAAGUGGAUUCACAGAAAUCACACAUUAACACAAACUGAUCAAGGCAGUGGUAGACCAGCAGCUCCAGUGUUCAGCAAGGUAAAAUUACUGUUUUUGUCAGUGGAGUCGGGCUUUGAAGAGAGCGAUAACGUCCUCAGUUCCAUGUUAUGAAGUAAUGUCUGACUUAAAGGUAAAGUGGUGAGAAUAUUAAUAAUAUUUAGCGUGCACUUAAUCUGACAUUUAUUUUUUAGGUGGCAGUACAUUGUUCAGUUUCUGUGUCAGUACUCCUGGCUGCUUCUCCAAACUGCCGGCACUCUGAUUGCCAUCCACUGUAUGUAAAAACUGACUGUGAAUAAGAAUGUCAUACAACCCCACCUCAUAAAACCUGAGCUCUCUCUUUAAUGGGGGAAAAGGCUGUUAAGAUUUCACUGCUUGUUAUUUACUGGUUAUGAUGUAUUACCAUUCUUCUUUUGACCCUUGACCUCUAUAAACUACUCUGAGUAAA